GACGAACGCUGGCGGUGUGCUUAACACAUGCAAGUCGAGCGGAAAGGCCCUUCGGGGUUCUCGUGCGGCGAACGGGUGAGUAACACGUGAGUAACUUGCCCUAGACCUUGUGAUAACCCUCGGAAACGGGGGCUAAUACUGCACACUUCUCCUAUACCGCAUGCUUUUGUUGGCAAAGUUUUUCGGUCUUUGAUGGACUUGCGGCCUAUCAGCUCGUUGGUGGGGUAAUGGUCUACCAAGGCGCGGACGGGUAGCCGGCCUGAGAGGGCGACCGGCCACCAUGGGACUGCGACAGGGCCCAGACUCCUACGGGAGGCAGCAGGGGGGAACAUUGCACAGUGGGCGGAAGCCUGAUGCGACGACGCCGCGUGAGGGAUGACGGCCUUCGGGUUGAAAACCUCUUUCAGCAGGGACGAAGCGUAAGUGACGGUACCUAAAGAAGAAGCGCCGGCCAACUACGUG
rnacentral:rRNA from 1 species